CCAAAGACGUUUAAAUAUAAUUACUAGACGGAAAGCAGCACGCGCGGAAACCAUGCAGACGAAUGGGAUUAGGCUCCGCCUCUUUUGGAUCAUUUGAAGACAAAAUAAGCACCCGAGGCGGCUUUUUGAUUGGAUAUGAGCCUCAUGAAUAUGUAUUUUAUCGAUAGUAUCGUUUAAGAAACCGGAUAAUAUAUUUGACCUCAUUGCGUCACUUUAAUUAUGCAGAUUUAUGCACGACGCAGGCUACUCGCACAAACUGAGAAGAUUUAGUUCAUUGAGAAUGGAUGGAAACUGAUGAAGAGCUGGAAGGAGUUAACUGAUGAGUAGACAUUACAACAUUCUUAUAUUUUCAAGAUGAAGCUGAAAGUCCCAUGCAGGAUGAUGCUUCUCUACAGUGGAUGAUGAAAGCAUGCUGAUUACAAACCCAGGAGAGGAAUAAAGAACAGAUAUUGACAGAAUCAUAUCUAGAGAUGUGGGCCUACUGCACUUCAUACAAGCAAGUGUGCUAAUAUACCAUACUUGGGUUAUCAUCACAGCCCUUUCUUCUGAAAACUAGCCUACAACUUCAUUGAUGAAUGCAGAAGACAUCUACAUGGGACUACGUCUUAAAGAUGCCACCCUCAUAUAAUGAAAGAGGACAGUAGAGAUGGGUUUAAACUUGAAUAUUUACAUACUAUUUAUUUAUUAUUUGUAUUAUA